rnacentral:sRNA from 1 species
AUGUGCAAGCAGGAGCACCCGCUUCUCACCUGAUCGACCAGUUGUUGGCAGGUAGACACGAUUUUGACUUUUUCACGCUGCGGCGUGCUGUCAUAAAUUGCGGGUGGGCCGAACGAGGCCCAUCCGCUUUUGUUUUGGAUC